rnacentral:tRNA from 1 species
GCCUUCAUGGUGUAGUGGUCAACACACUGGAUGCGUAUUUGAGAGGUCCGUGGUUCGAGUCCCGGUGAGGGCA